rnacentral:lncRNA from 1 species
GGGAAAAUCAGAACAAUCUAGAAUUAUGUACAAUAAUGGCUUUACAUGUGUCUUUGUCUUAAGGUAAAACAACUAGACAUGUGUGGAGCAGUUUAUGCAACAAAGACAAAGCAAAACUGGAGGACCUAUGAUCCAAGACAAGAGUUGCUUAUGCAAGUUACACCUGCAAAAAUGGGACUGAGUCCAGUAAGGAAGGACGUAACAUUUUCCUGAAUAUGCAAAAAAUGAGUGGGGUAUAGUCUGUAUUCCUGUAUGCUCUGGGCAGCCUCGUGGGUAAGUGAGCAUUUGUUUCCUAUAUGCCAUUGUUGAGUUGAAAAUGAGUCACACACUCAUGAAAAGAAUGGUCCUGUCUUCUUUUGUCUAGCUCUGUAUGCUUUUUGUGGUUACUGAAUUUGUCUUAAUGGGAAUCUUGACUGUUUCUCUUUUGAGGGAAGUUUUUAGAAUUUAUUUUCAAUCUGGAACAGGAUUUAUUUAAAUAUAUUGUCCUUGAUUCAUAAUUUGAUUCACAGAAAUUUUCUAUGGGGGGAAAAAUCUUUUAGGUUCAUGUAAUCCCAAGUAUUUCAACUAGUUUACCUUGAAAAUAAUAAUACAUAUGAUGUAUUAACUGUCUACUCUGUACCAGCCACUGUGCUAUGUCUUAUAAAUUGUUUCUAAUCCAUGCCACAUGCCCAAAUACA